CACCUGGCUCCAGGAAGGUGACAUGUCUUUCAUCAAAGAUCUGGAAGCACUGUUGGCCGUCCAAGGUUCUGCCUCCAAGCCUUCAUACCUCUUUGCAAAGGUGUGUGCAGGACAGAGAUGUCCAAACCAUGACUAGAAUGAUUCUUCUUUCAGUGAUUGUCCUGUUAAAAGAUGAUAGGAGAUUCCACAAAGGGAGUGUAAACCUUUUCAAAUUUGAGUUGAUCGAAUCUAUUUUUGGUCUUUUUUACAGGUUUGGCGAUUUUUCAAAAGGUUCUUGUAGGGGAAGAAUUAUGACUAAAAUUGAGUUUAGAUGGCGUAAUAAAUAAUCCCUUCCACAGCAGCUGUGUGUUGACACAAUUUAUUCAGCAGUGUUGUUAACAUGCAGGUAAGUUCACAGUUACAAAACAAUGCGAGUCUUCACUAGUGCAAGUUGU